AGAACAGAUGCCACGCAGCCGCAUUUCUGUGUCAACACCUUGUCAUUAUAGGAUUUGGCUGUAGUGUUUGAGGGAACAACCGGGGGACGACGAACAGUGCAAUUAUGGUUCUGGGGGCAGAAGGGGGCACCUGCUUAACCGUAAUGCAAUGAUUCAUGAGUCAAAAAAGCAGAUGUCGGUUAAAUGAGAAAGAAUGUGAAAAGUGAACUGAACAAUAUGGUUAGAAAGUAGAACAAGAGACGAUUGGGAAGAUUUGAAUCGUUUAAUGAAAGUUAUAGGUUACUCAGG
ensembl:ncRNA T01B10.12 ncRNA